rnacentral:rRNA from 1 species
CGUAAGAGCUUGCCUCACAGCUAGGGACAACAUUUGGAAACGAAUGCUAAUACCUAAUAUUAUGAUAAUAGGGCAUCCUAUAAUUAUGAAAGCUAUAAGCGCUGUGAGAGAGCUUUGCGUCCCAUUAGCUAGUUGGAGAGGUAACGGCUCACCAAGGCGAUGAUGGGUAGCCGGCCUGAGAGGGUGAUCGGCCACAAGGGGACUGAGACACGGCCCUU